AUACGGAGGGUGCGAGCGUUAAUCGGAAUUACUGGGCGUAAAGGGCGUGUAGGCGGUUCGAUCAGUCAGGCGUGAAAGCCCGGGGCUCAACCCCGGAAUUGCGCUCAAAACUAGGUAGCUAGAGUCCGGAAGAGGAGAGUGGAAUUCCCAGUGUAGAGGUGAAAUUCGUAGAUAUUGGGAAGAACACCAGUGGCGAAGGCGGCUCUCUGGUCCGGUACUGACGCUAAGGUGCGAAAGCGUGGGGAGCAAACAGGAUUAGAUACCCGUGUAGUCC
rnacentral:rRNA from 1 species